rnacentral:rRNA from 1 species
UACAGAGGUGGCAAGCGUUGUUCGGAAUUACUGGGCGUAAAGGGCGCGUAGGCGGCCCUAUAAGUCCUGUGUGAAAUCCCUCGGCUCAACUGAGGAAUUGCACAGGAAACUGCAGGGCUUGAGUUCGGGAGAGGGAAGCGGAAUUCCGGGUGUAGCGGUGAAAUGCGUAGAUAUCCGGAGGAACACCGGUGGCGAAGGCGGCUUCCUAGACCGACACUGACGCUGAGGCGCGAAAGCUAGGGGAGCAAACGGG